GUCGCGCGCGGGGGCGAGCAUGAUGUCGAGGGUUGCUAGGGCAACCGUGGCUGCCGGCUAAUCUCGCGCCAGCUGACGAGCCGGCACCUAGACGAGACGAGACAGAGACGACAAUGGCGGCUUCUUUGGUUGUGUUGCUGGCGAGUGCCGAAAGACAACGACGCGACGAGAGGCAACGACGCGACGCGUUCGGCAUGGCCGAAGAAGAGUUUCGAAGGCAUUUUAGGCUCUCCAAAGACAUAGUGUGACGUCUUUGCGAUGAGCUGGAAGGACAUCUCGAACCUCAAAGAUUUCGUGGCGUCGACACUACGAUGAAAGUGCUGUGCGCGCUGCGGUUUUUUGCCACCGGGAGCUUUCAACAGUCCGUCGGGAAUGAAUAAGCGAUUGCACUGUCGCAGCCUUCGGUCAGCCGGAUCAUUACAGCCGUCGCCAAGGCCAUUACGGUUGUGGGCAAAGAAAAAGGAUGGGUUAGAUUCCCAUCCACGGUGCAACAGAAAGCCGCCGUCAAGGAAGGCUUUCUUAGCCAUGGAAAAAUUCCAGGAGUUGUAGAAUGUGUGGACGGGAGUCUAAUAGCCAUCGUUCGCCCUAAGAAACUCGGCCCUGGCGAAACGGAAUCGUACUGGAGCCGUAAAGGGUAUUAGGCCCUCAACUGCAUGGUCGUGUGUGAUGCAAAGCUGAAUAUCCUGGCAAUUGACCCACGGUUUCCGGGAUCGUGCCACGAUUCUUUCGUUUGGAGGCAUUCUGCAUUUCGCCGCCGCCUCACUCGUGGCCUGUUACUUCAUGGAGAAGUCUUGCUUGCGACAUGUGGUGCUGGAGUGAUUAGAAAGGAUCAAACGGGUAGCUCGAGUUCGGGUACCUUCACGAGAAGAGGUACGAAAAGUAGAGUAAGGAUCCCAGAUACUGGCAGCAUAUUCGAGAGUAGACCUUAGAAGUGUUUUAUAAAAUAACACUUCUGAAGAGAGAAGAGCUAAUUAGUUUUAGUGGAGGAUGUACAUUUAGGGAGAAGCAAAUGGGAUGAGCGGAGCAGAAAACCACGAGUAUGAAAUAAAUAUUACAUGUCCAACUUAACCCGAGAAUGAUAUUUGCAGCCAAGACAACAGGUGAAAUUGGGCUUUUCUUUAAAAUGAGUCGAACUUUCUUUACAACUUUCUGGGAAGGUCAGUGUUCGAUAGAUAUUGCAACAAUAAAUCCAAGACCCGCUGCUGUUGUAAAAGGGCCCUGGCGUAGACUGUGUUCUUGCAUUGUGCCUUAAUGUAUCCACGUUCGUUCACUGACGUGCAACACUUUACAGGGGACUCUGGGUACCCGCUAGAGCCAUAGAUCAUGACUCCUGUGCCUGGUCACCCAAAUCGCCUCACGGCAGAGGGGCGCUAUAAUGAGGCACACGCAUCAAUGUGAAAUGCCGUUGAGCGGUGCAUAGGAGUCGUCAAGAGCCGCUUCCGAUGCCUGCAGAGGUAUCGGGUGCUCCACUACUCGCCUCAGAAAGCAGCCACUAUUGUUGCAGCUUGUGCAGCGCUGCAUAACCUCUGCCUUGCAGCAGGCGUGCCUCUGCCAGACGACCCAGAUGACGACGGUGCACAUGACGACAGCGCACAGGAGCCAGCCCAGGCACAAGUGCCGCUUCAAGUACAGGUGCCACCGCAGGCGCACCCUGUACAGCCUUCUCGAGCUUUGUUUCAAAGAGGCCGUGCGGUGCGUGAAUCCAUAGUUGGUGUGUUUCGGCUGCCCAGAAAUUUGCGCAUUGCCUACCUGCAAAGUGUGCGCCGGCGCAUUCGCUGGCAAAUGAGGCGGAGACAUGUGCUGGUGUAACAUGUUUUAUUUUUAUUUUCAUGAAAGUAAAUAGGCCGUGCACUUCAACAUAACACAUUGCGUGUGCUCACAUGUGGCUAAUCAUAGUAUGCUGCAUACUGCAGUAGUGAAAAGCACAUGAUUUGUCUAUGUUGAGCAUGACAGAUACACAUGCAGUGACAAAUAACCAUGUGCCAUUAUGUUACUCCUUAGCUUUGUUCACUGUGCUUUUGAAUAUUGUCUCGCCAGGUAAUUUUCUUUAAAUAAAGGUUAUUUCCAAGGUGAAUGGCAACCAAUCUUGCAUUGUUGAAUAUUGCUUUGCAAUGCCUAUUUUACUGUGCAGUAUGCAUUGUUCCAAAGCUGAAGAUGUCUGUUCAUGUGUGACACGCAAGAGCAGCAUGAGUUACACAGCAACUGAAAUGUCGUUCAGCAAUCUGUAUAGCACAUAUUGAAACGUAUAGCAACAAACGAGACAUGUCAAGCACUUAUUGGAGCAGGAUUUCUUUAAAUAGCAGACACUCAUGCUUACUACUGCUUUGUUUAAACUCAAGAGUUGCUUCAACAUUGCAUUUCUUGCACACAUGAUUUCACAUAAUGCUCGUAAUUGCUGCUUAACAGGGUGCAA